rnacentral:rRNA from 1 species
UCCGGUUGAUCCUGGCGGAGGUCAUUGCUAUUGGAGUCCGAUUUAGCCAUGCUAGUCGCGCGGGUUCAGACCCGCGGCAUAUAGCUCAGUAACACGUGGCCAAACUACCCUAUGGACAGGGACAACCUCGGGAAACUGAGGCUAAUCCCUGAUACAGCUCUCCUGUUGGAGUGCAGAGAGCUGGAAACGCUCCGGCGCCAUAGGAUGUGGCUGCGGCCGAUUAGGUAGAUGGUGGGGUAACGGCCCACCAUGCCAAUAAUCGGUACAGGUUGUGAGAGCAAGAGCCUGGAGACGGUAUCUGAGACAAGAUACCGGGCCCUACGGGGCGCAGCAGGCGCGAAACCUUUACACUGCACGACAGUGCGAUAAGGGGACUCCGAGUGCGAGGGCAUAUAGCCCUCGCUUUUCUGUACCGUAGGGAGGUACAGGAACAAGUGCUGGGCAAGACCGGUGCCAGCCGCCGCGGUAAUACCGGCAGCACGAGUGAUGACCGAUAUUAUUGGGCCUAAAGCGUCCGUAGCCGGCCAAACAAGUCCGUUGGGAAAUCCACGCGCUCAACGCGUGGGCGUCCGGCGGAAACUGUUUGGCUUGGGGCCGGAAGACCUGAGGGGUACGUCCGGGGUAGGAGUGAAAUCCUGUAAUCCUGGACGGACCACCGUUGGCGAAAGCGCCUCAGGAAGACGGACCCGACGGUGAGGGACGAAAGCUAGGGUCUCGAACCGGAUUANAUACCCGGGUAGUCCUAGCUGUAAACGAUGCUCGCUAGGUGUGCCACAGGCUACGAGCCUGUGCUGCGCCCUANGGAAGCCGANAAGCGAGCCGCCUGGG